UAACCCUUAAAGAGCGCCCUGGCAGAAGCUCCUCGGCUGCUUCUCAGGGAGAGCAAGGGAAGGUGGGGCUUUUUGUGUUGACUUUCUCACUCUGCUACAAACCUCCUGCAGUCGGAAGUGACUGAGUCCAGCCAGAAACACAUUGCCUGCCUAAUGUGUUCCUUCUGUCAUUCUCCUGUUACUGUGGUGAACGCCGACAGUGCACUCCGAAGACCUGUGAACAUCCCGAAAAGAAAAUCAGGUUGAAUGCUCGUGGUCGUAUUACAAGCCCAUAAACAAAUCGGAACAAAUGCUCAAUAAAGAUAUGAGAGUGGCUAAUUCUACUGCUUCCUAUGAUGAUGAUGGACUGCCUUCAAGUCGAUUCCGACUUACGGCAACCCUAUGAAUAGGGUUUUCAUGAAAAUGUAACUUUGGAUCCAGACACAGCCCAGCUUGUCUCAUCCUGUCUGAGGAUCAUAUAAGUGUGAGAUGGGGAGAAAAACGUCUAGCUGUGCCCAACAAUGCUGAGAGAGUUGACACCCACCCGUGUGCUGUGAUGUGAAGGGUUCACAGCAGGCAGACAUUUCUGGGAAGUUGUUUUGGGGAGUGAGGGGUAAUGGGCU